UUGCUGGGUGGAUUAGUGGCGAACGGGUGAGUAACACGUGAGUAACCUGCCCCUGACUCUGGGAUAAGCGUUGGAAACGACGUCUAAUACUGGAUAUGAUCACUGGCCGCAUGGUCUGGUGGUGGAAAGAUUUUUUGGUUGGGGAUGGACUCGCGGCCUAUCAGCUUGUUGGUGAGGUAAUGGCUCACCAAGGCGACGACGGGUAGCCGGCCUGAGAGGGUGACCGGCCACACUGGGACUGAGACACGGCCCAGACUCCUACGGGAGGCAGCAGUGGGGAAUAUUGCACAAUGGGCGAAAGCCUGAUGCAGCAACGCCGCGUGAGGGAUGACGGCCUUCGGGUUGUAAACCUCUUUUAGUAGGGAAGAAGCGAAAGUGACGGUACCUGCAGAAAAAGCACCGGCUAACUACGUGCCAGCAGCCGCGGUAAUACGUAGGGUGCAAGCGUUGUCCGGAAUUAUUGGGCGUAAAGAGCUCGUAGGCGGUUUGUCGCGUCUGCUGUGAAAUCCCGAGGCUCAACCUCGGGCUUGCAGUGGGUACGGGCAGACUAGAGUGCGGUAGGGGAGAUUGGAAUUCCUGGUGUAGCGGUGGAAUGCGCAGAUAUCAGGAGGAACACCGAUGGCGAAGGCAGAUCUCUGGGCCGUAACUGACGCUGAGGAGCGAAAGCAUGGGGAGCGAACAGGAUUAGAUACCCUGGUAGUCCAUGCCGUAAACGUUGGGCGCUAGAUGUAGGGACCUUUCCACGGUUUCUGUGUCGUAGCUAACGCAUUAAGCGCCCCGCCUGGGGAGUACGGCCGCAAGGCUAAAACUCAAAGGAAUUGACGGGGGCCCGCACAAGCGGCGGAGCAUGCGGAUUAAUUCGAUGCAACGCGAAGAACCUUACCAAGGCUUGACAUACACCGGAAACGGCCAGAGAUGGUCGCCCCCUUGUGGUCGGUGUACAGGUGGUGCAUGGUUGUCGUCAGCUCGUGUCGUGAGAUGUUGGGUUAAGUCCCGCAACGAGCGCAACCCUCGUUCUAUGUUGCCAGCGGGUUAUGCCGGGGACUCAUAGGAGACUGCCGGGGUCAACUCGGAGGAAGGUGGGGAUGACGUCAAAUCAUCAUGCCCCUUAUGUCUUGGGCUUCACGCAUGCUACAAUGGCCGGUACAAAGGGCUGCGAUACCGUAAGGUGGAGCGAAUCCCAAAAAGCCGGUCUCAGUUCGGAUUGAGGUCUGCAACUCGACCUCAUGAAGUCGGAGUCGCUAGUAAUCGCAGAUCAGCAACGCUGCGGUGAAUACGUUCCCGGGCCUUGUACACACCGCCCGUCAAGUCAUGAAAGUCGGUAACACCCGAA
rnacentral:rRNA from 2 species